rnacentral:rRNA from 1 species
UGGGGAAUAUUACACAAUGGGCGCAAGCCUGAUGCAGCCAUGCCGCGUGUAUGAAGAAGGCAUUCGGGUUGUCAAGUACUUUCAGCGGGGAGGAAGGCGAUAAGGUUAAUAACCUUGUCGAUUGACGUUACCCGCAGAAGAAGCACCGGCUAACUCCGUGCCAGCAGCCGCGGUAAUACGGAGGGUGCAAGCGUUAAUCGGAAUUACUGGGCGUAAAGCGCACGCAGGCGGUCUGUCAAGUCGGAUGUGAAAUCCCCGGGCUCAACCUGGGAACUGCAUUCGAAACUGGCAGGCUAGAGUCUUGUAGAGGGGGGUAGAAUUCCAGGUGUAGCGGUGAAAUGCGUAGAGAUCUGGAGGAAUACCGGUGGCGAAGGCGGCCCCCUGGACAAAGACUGACGCUCAGGUGCGAAAGCGUGGGGAGCAAACA